UACGAACUGUGCAAACGUUAUUCGGAAUCACUGGGCUUAAAGGGUGCGUAGGCGGCUUGUCAAGUAGGGUGUGAAAGCCCCCGGCUUAACCGGGGAAUUGCGCCCUAAACUGACGAGCUGGAGUGGACAGGGGUGUGUGGAACUUCCGGUGGAGCGGUGAAAUGUGUUGAUAUCGGAAGGAACGCCGGUGGCGAAAGCGACACACUGGGUCUCAACUGGACGCUGAGGCACGAAAGCCAGGGGAGCGAACGGG
rnacentral:rRNA from 1 species